AUUUUCGGAUAUCCUUGUUCUUGACAUGACAUUUCUGUACAAAAGAGAGGAGGUAAGAGCAUGAAAGCAAUUCCAGUGAGUUAGGAUGCAUCUUCCUCAUCCACAGGAACAACAACUCUAUAUUGCGCAAGAAAGAAUACUACAAUGUGCUUAAUGCUCAUGAGUACAUAUUCUAGCAUGUACAGAAAUGCUAGCACACACUCGCAAA